UUUCCUCACCACCAAUCAACCCUUCACCAAUACUGAGUGAUUCUAUACCCCUAUAGAAAUUCUUAUGUUAAAACUAGUAACAAGAAGAAGACCUUCUCUUAAAUGCACCUAUAAAUCAGAAAGGACCCACCACUGAUAAUUAACGCUUAUGAACCUAAAAUAAAAACUCAACUAGAAAACCUUACUAAACACAACGUUAACCUAACACAAGAGCAUUUCAAGAAAGAUUAAAAGAAAGAGAAGGAACUCGGCAAACAUUAACCCCGCCUGUUUACCAAAAACAUCGCCUCUUGAGAAGACGUAAGAGGUCCAGCCUGCCCAGUGACACUGUUCAACGGCCGCGGUAUCCUAACCGUGCGAAGGUAGCGUAAUCACUUGUCCUUUAAAUGGGGACUAGUAUGAACGGCACCACGAGGGUUAUACUGUCUCCUCUUUCCAAUCAGUGAAACUAAUCUUCCCGUGAAGAAGCGGGAAUAUAUCUAUAAGACGAGAAGACCCUAUGGAGCUUUAAACGAAACAACAUUUGCUAUUACACACACCCAUCCCAGGAAAUCAAUCCUUAUUAUAGCUCUAUGAUUGCCAGUUUUAGGUUGGGGUGACCGCGGAGUAAAAAAUAACCUCCACAAUGAAGGGGGGCCUCCCCUAAACAAAAAGCCACAACUUUAUGUAUCAAUAAAUUGACAUCAAUUGACCCAAUAUUUUGAUCAACGAAACAAGUUACCCUAGGGAUAACAGCGCAAUCCACUUCAAGAGCCCAUAUCGACAAGUGGGUUUACGACCUCGAUGUUGGAUCAGGGUACCCCAGUGGUGCAGCCGCUACUAAA
rnacentral:rRNA from 1 species